ensembl:lncRNA
CCCUUUUUCUCAGACACAUACAGAACUAGGAAUGAUGUCUUUACUCCCAGGAGCAAGAGCAAGAGAAUUUCCUUUCCUCCUCGCAACGUCGGACAAUGAAAUGGUCCGUCUCCUCUAGCACCCACACAGUGCUACAGGAAAGAAUGAGUAUGCAAUGAGUGCAUGUGGCCAAAGACUUCAGCACUUUACUCUGCCUGACACACAUCAGUAUGAGCACAAAGACACAUCUGAGCAUUGGGCACUCAGUAAUGAGCCAUCUAGAGACACUCUGACAGUGACCCUUUAAUCUUCAAUAUAUGGCUUCUAUAUAUGUAUAUAUAUACAUCUAGAGACACUCUGCCAGCAUGUGUUGAAAGGGACAGAGAGAAGACAAAAUGAAAACAAGAUCAUCAGAUUCUCCAAACCCUAUAUACAGGAAACAGGCUUAUGAAACUACUCAGCUUCAGGUAUGUUCAACCUUAAUUACAAUUAUUUUUAAAUCAUUUGAUAAAUAAUUCUUGCUUGACUGUUUCUUUUGUUUCAGCAUUUUAAAGAAGUC